rnacentral:lncRNA from 1 species
UCCAGCCUGGAUGACAGAGCAAGACUCCAUCUCAAUAAAUAGGCUCAGCAAACUCCCGAGUUCCUGUGCUGCUGAAGAAGGCAUUGAGCAGAAUACAGAAAGACUGGGUAUAGCUUGGGUUUGAGAUGAAACACCAGCAAUGGAAGAUUCGCUCUGUUGUCUAUCAGCUUGCAUACUUUGAUGAAACAAGCUUCCAUGUUGAAGAGGACCAAGUGGAAGUGAAUUGAGGGCAAGCACUGGACAACAGCCAGAGAGAAAGUCCAAAGCCCAUUCCCCUAUAAGUAACUGAAUGCAGCCAACAACCAGUGAGUGGACCUGAAAGCUUUCCAACAGCCUUGUAAUGACUACAGUUGCAGCCAACAACAUGAUUUCAGCCUGCGAGAGACCUCAGCAUACCUGGAUUCCCGGACUACAGAAACUGAGCUAAUAAAUGUGUGCCAUUUUGAGCCACUAAGUUUUGGCACAUUUUUUUGGGCACAUUAGAUAGCAAUAGUAGAUAAUUAAUAGAAGCUUGUUACUAUUUGUCCCUCUACUUUCUACUCCAAUAUUUUGUUGCUAUUGUCUUCUUUCCCAAUCUCUUUAUCCUUGUGGGCUGAUAUAUUUUUUAAUUCCUGUAUUCUUUUUUUUCUUUUUUGAGAUGGAGUCU